rnacentral:rRNA from 1 species
GUGGGGAAUAUUGGACAAUGGGCGAAAGCCUGAUCCAGCCAUGCCGCGUGUGUGAAGAAGGUCUUCGGAUUGUAAAGCACUUUAAGCGAGGAGGAGGCUACCGAGAUUAAUACUCUUGGAUAGUGGACGUUACUCGCAGAAUAAGCACCGGCUAACUCUGUGCCAGCAGCCGCGGUAAUACAGAGGGUGCAAGCGUUAAUCGGAUUUACUGGGCGUAAAGCGCGCGUAGGUGGCCAAUUAAGUCAAAUGUGAAAUCCCCGAGCUUAACUUGGGAAUUGCAUUCGAUACUGGUUGGCUAGAGUAUGGGAGAGGAUGGUAGAAUUCCAGGUGUAGCGGUGAAAUGCGUAGAGAUCUGGAGGAAUACCGAUGGCGAAGGCAGCCAUCUGGCCUAAUACUGACACUGAGGUGCGAAAGCAUGGGGAGCAAACAGGAUUAGAAACCCGAGUAGUCC